rnacentral:lncRNA from 1 species
GCAACUGAUGCAUCUUCUAACCAGGCUGGGAACACAACACGCGCACACGCGCACACACACACGCACGCACCCACCCCACCCGGCUGCCGGACGCAAGCGUAAGUCAAGGACUUGCAUGCUAGAAUCAGACAGAAAAUCCAGAAAAGCCACGUUAUUUAACAGAACCCUACAAGGUCAGCUUUGAGUCAAAGCAGACCACAUUUCUCUCGGCCCUCGCGAGUGAGGUCGCCAAAUACUCGACGCCUCAAGAGCGAGCCGAGGAGGCAGAGGCCGACCAAGCCGGCCUCUCGGCAGCCCCGCCCGGCGCCCCGCGGAGAACGCCCGGGUGCGGCUCGAGGGAAGUUGUGUCAAGUCCCACGCGCGGCCCGCGGAGAACCCAGGGGCGGCCCGCGCGCGUCGGCCUAGCGGGGAGGGCUGCUCCGGGACACGGUGCGGCGGCCGCGGGCGAGUUGGACGCGCUGGCAGAGCCGGGCCGAAGGCGGCGGGCGUCUCCGGGCAGCCAUGUUCGCGGCGCCCGCCCGCGCAGCAGGACGGAGCCCUGACAGCAAUGUUUGCUACGGCCUCCCUCUGCAGUCAGCCUAAAGCAAGGAGCUGGAGGUAGAUGAGGCAAAGGUAAAGGAGACCAAAACAGUAUUUUAAAGAAAAAAUCAUUUAUCUUCAAAUAGGCUCCAAACCUAAGAUGGUGUAUACUGUUAGAGGACAAGAACCUGCUUCUAGCCAUCUUUGCGUCUCCAGGACCUGACUUGUGACCAUUCAAUAAGAGUUUGAUAGAUGGACAGACUAAUGAAUAGAUGAAGAUGAUUAGAAGCCAAAAUUUCUGAAUCUUCCUAGCACCCAGAACAUGGCUUAACAUCAAGGAAAUGCUCACUAAAUACUGUCAUAAUGGAAUGAAUGGAACCGAUGCCUAAUUGAAAAUCAUUAGGCUGUAAACCAUUUCCAUGUUCCAAUUUCUUCGUUUAUAGAACAGAAAUGAUAGUGUAACCACCUGAAAAUCCUUCACCUAGACUUCCAAAACCACACCCACCUCAUCAAUGAAGUCUGACUCUCUAGAAAGAAGCAAAUGACUGAAAUCAUGGUCCUGUGCCUUGACCAAAAUACCAUUCGUCAGAACAAAAGAAGUAGGUCAGUGAAACGGCAUUAGUAUAUCCUUCAACAGGCAAAUAAGUGAUAGUGUAGUUUGCUUUUGAAGUCGCUGUGAAAAGUUUUAGGUGAACAUCACCUACACCACAUUAAAAAUGGAAUCAAGUCAUUUUCUUUAAGAAAUGGAGUUUGAGAUAUGAGAAUUCUUUUGGGCUUUUUCUACUUAUUGGCCAAUUAUACACCCAGAUAUAUUUCUGCAAUAUUUCAAAGAUUCUAGUUCUAAUUUGUAUAAUAAAAAAAAUUAACAGCCUUUUCCAGACCACAUGUUUCCAACAAGACCUUCAAAGGCCUCGCUCGCUAUAUAAAACUGGCUUUAAACAAUUUCCUUUCCCAAAGAAGGAAAUAAGAUAUUUCGGUUUUGUAAAAGAGGCAAAACCAGGUACAGGCCACCUUUCCUGCUGGAGAGCUGGCAUAAGUGAGUGGAUUCUUAAUUACUAUUUUACCUGCGGGGCAUAAUUACUUACGUGGAGUGAAAUAAGGAGCCGUCCUUUUCUAAGUAGCCUUCAUAGUGGACCAACAUCAAAUCCCCUCCUUUGGUCUUGCGAUGGCAGAUGAAUGGCUUCUGGAGAACUUCAAUUUUCACUUCUGGUUCAGGGAUCAAAGCCCCAAUCAAAGAAGUGACGAACAGAGUCAAGACCGCGUUCCACAAGAAAAGCCUCAUGUUGCUGAAGCAAGGAAAGAAGUCCCUACAAAAGCAGCGAAAGGUCCCUCGACUUCAUAGAUUUAAGAACGUAGUUCAAGGCUUACGGACAAGGGCUUCAGACAAGUUCAGGACUCCCCCUUCUUAGAAGACGUGGCACAUUUACCACCAACUCUUUUCUCAAGGGUCACGAACCUACCUUUAAAGAGUUAAGCCCAAAUGCCGGCCUGACUGGCUCUUAUAACGCGGCCGCCUGGGAAUAGCAGCCUCCCAUUGGCUAUUGGUGCUGUCCUUCAGGCAGCUCUCAAGCCAAUGACGCUGCAACGAUGGAAUUUACAGCCCGGUAGAGCCGGGCAGCUGCCAAGCGGCGGAUCAUCCCUUGUGGUCCUAGAGCCCGGUGGAUUUCAGCAUUCAACCAGCGUGGAUUUUGGGAGAGGGGCGGGGCGCAGAGCCAACCGGAAACUCCUCCGGCUGAUUUAUCUCUGUGAAGAACCCUGCUGAGAGACGUAGGAAGAGUCCCGGGGCCCUAUGAAAUCUUCGGGGUUCCAGGAAAGACUCGUUUACUCUCGCCGUUGGAGAGCGGCCCCCCAAGAUGCCACAAUCCUAGGAUUUUGCUAUUGCUUAUAAACUGUAAAGACUGACAUACUGCUUGAGGGUUCACAAAGCGCGUUCCCGUUGCAUGAACCUCACUACACCCAGUAAGGCAGGUUCUUUUUUCCCAUUUAAAAGAGAAGUAAAUUUACACCAGGAGAUAUUAACUGUCCUGCUUAAGGUUGUUUGGCCCCGAAGCAAAUGAGCUCUGCCUUCAAACCAGGUCUGAUUCAUUCCACAGCACCACGUCAUGUUAUGGCUGCUAAUAAUUUAUCCCUUAAGUUACCUUACAGGGUAAAUAAUGAGUUUCGACUUGCAGACUUCCGCUUUAAAGAAGAAAUGGUAAUCAUGGUUACGAAUUACACAGCCUCAUCGUAGUUUACAUUUUCUAGUUUUACAUUUUUUGCCUAAGUUCAAAAGUAAUGCAUGUUCAUUGAAGUCAUUUUGGAAGAAAUUGGAAAGCAC